rnacentral:rRNA from 1 species
AGAGUUUGAUCCUGGCUCAGGACGAACGCUGGCGGCGUGCCUAAUACAUGCAAGUAGAACGCUGAAGGAGGAGCUUGCUUCUCUGGAUGAGUUGCGAACGGGUGAGUAACGCGUAGGUAACCUGCCUGGUAGCGGGGGAUAACUAUUGGAAACGAUAGCUAAUACCGCAUAAGAGUAGAUGUUGCAUGACAUUUGCUUAAAAGGUGCACUUGCAUCACUACCAGAUGGACCUGCGUUGUAUUAGCUAGUUGGUGGGGUAACGGCUCACCAAGGCGACGAUACAUAGCCGACCUGAGAGGGUGAUCGGCCACACUGGGACUGAGACACGGCCCAGACUCCUACGGGAGGCAGCAGUAGGGAAUCUUCGGCAAUGGACGGAAGUCUGACCGAGCAACGCCGCGUGAGUGAAGAAGGUUUUCGGAUCGUAAAGCUCUGUUGUAAGAGAAGAACGAGUGUGAGAGUGGAAAGUUCACACUGUGACGGUAUCUUACCAGAAAGGGACGGCUAACUACGUGCCAGCAGCCGCGGUAAUACGUAGGUCCCGAGCGUUGUCCGGAUUUAUUGGGCGUAAAGCGAGCGCAGGCGGUUAGAUAAGUCUGAAGUUAAAGGCUGUGGCUUAACCAUAGUAGGCUUUGGAAACUGUUUAACUUGAGUGCAAGAGGGGAGAGUGGAAUUCCAUGUGUAGCGGUGAAAUGCGUAGAUAUAUGGAGGAACACCGGUGGCGAAAGCGGCUCUCUGGCUUGUAACUGACGCUGAGGCUCGAAAGCGUGGGGAGCAAACAGGAUUAGAUACCCUGGUAGUCCACGCUGUAAACGAUGAGUGCUAGGUGUUAGACCCUUUCCGGGGUUUAGUGCCGUAGCUANUUUGGCAUUAGAAUAGUGUAGUUGAAGGGCGUUGACAAUCUUUUCUUUAUCUUUGAGGAAGGUUUUAAAGACAGUCUGAAAAAUAGGAUGAACCUGCUUAAGAUUGUCCUCAAUAAGUCCGAAAAAUUUCUCUGGUUCCUUUUUCUUCAAUUGACUUCCGCACUCAGGGCAAGAUGGGGCGUCGUAGUCCAGUUUGGCGAUGAUUUCCUUGUGUGAAUCCCUAUUGACGACAUCUAUAAUUUGGAUAUUUGUGUCUUUGAUAUCGAGUAGUUUUGUGAUAAAAUGUAAUUGUUCCAUAUGAAUCUUUCUAAUGAGUUGUUUGGUCGCUUUUCAUUAUAGAUCUUAUGGGACUUUUUUUCUACAAUAAAAUAGGCUCCAUAAUAUCUAUAGUGGAUUUACCCACUACAAAUAUUAUAGAGCCAAACUUAAUUGAAUUACUAAUCUGAAGUUAUUUUUAUAUCGUUUAUAUUAUAAUUGUGUUAUUUUACUUCCAACUAUUGAGAGAAAUUUCGCCACUAUUUAGCCAGAUUUCUUUUCCGUUAUCACAUUGAACUAAAAGUUUUCCAUUUUCUGAGAUGUCUUUAGCAAGUCCCUUGUAGUCUUUUUGCUCUAGUGUGAAAGUGACUUCUUUUCCUAGAAUGAAUGACUGUUUUUUGUAUAGGUAUAAUAGCUCUUCUGCUGGUGUUUCGAAGAAAGUACGCCAGAUUUCUAUGAUCAAUUCAUUCCUUGUUAUAGGAGCUGUAGCUUUAAAUAAGCUGGCAG